GACGAACCGUGCGAACGUUGUUCGGAAUCACUGGGCUUAAAGGGCGCGUAGGCGGGCUUUCAAGUCAGGGGUGAAAGCCCACGGCCCAACCGUGGAAGUGCCUCUGAUACUGGGGGCCUGGAGGGGGAUAGGGGCGUGCGGAACUUGGGGUGGAGCGGUGAAAUGCGUAGAUAUCAUUUGGAACGCCAAUGGUGAAAACAGGUAGCUGGGGCUGUGCUGACACUGAGACACGAAAGCCAGGGGAGCAAACGGG
rnacentral:rRNA from 1 species